AUGGAGUAGUGUCUACGAAGAAUAAGCAGUGGUUGAAGCAAAGAUGAUAACAAAAGUUUGAUUCCUGGUGAAGCUCUCUACAUUUACUUAUUCGCAUUUAUUGACUCAAUUGAUACUCCAUAAAACUUUCUUGAUUUUGCUUAUGUACUCUCAUAUUAAUAAUAAGGCUCUCCAGCGCACCUCCCGACUCGCCAUAACCAACACCUGAGCCACGUACAUCGGCUCCAACACAUCCGCUCUGUUUUGUGUCUUGUUAUCGAGUCGGUUAUUUAUUUCCAUCUGGGUUUUCUUUGUGGUUCUUUCUCGGAUCAGAUUACGAGAGUCGAACCACAUAGGAUUAGGUUUGUUUUUCCAUUGUAAAAGAGUCUUGUUGUUUCCAUUAUUUCAAUUGAGCAAUAACAGCUUAUCUUUUUAAAACUCUAAACUCUCUCUUAUU